rnacentral:rRNA from 1 species
GUGGGGAAUUUUGGACAAUGGGGGCAACCCUGAUCCAGCCAUUCCGCGUGAGUGAAGAAGGCCUUCGGGUUGUAAAGCUCUUUCGGCAGGAACGAAACGGUGAGCUCUAACAUAGCUCGCUAAUGACGGUACCUGAAGAAGAAGCACCGGCUAACUACGUGCCAGCAGCCGCGGUAAUACGUAGGGUGCGAGCGUUAAUCGGAAUUACUGGGCGUAAAGCGUGCGCAGGCGGUUGUGUAAGACAGGUGUGAAAUCCCCGGGCUUAACCUGGGAACUGCGCUUGUGACUGCACGGCUAGAGUAUGGCAGAGGGGGGUGGAAUUCCACGUGUAGCAGUGAAAUGCGUAGAUAUGCGGAGGAACACCGAUGGCGAAGGCAAUCCCCUGGGCCUGCACUGACGCUCAUGCACGAAAGCGUGGGGAGCAAACAGGAUUAGAUACCCUUGUAGUCC